rnacentral:rRNA from 1 species
UACGUAGGGGGCAAGCGUUGUCCGGAAUCAUUGGGCGUAAAGAGCGUGUAGGCGGCCCGAUAAGUCCGCUGUGAAAAGUCCAGGGCUCAACCCUGGGAUGCCGGUGGAUACUGUCGGGCUCGAGUCCGGAAGAGGAGUGUGGAAUUCCUGGUGUAGCGGUGAAAUGCGCAGAUAUCAGGAGGAACACCAAUGGCGAAGGCAGCACUCUGGGACGUGACUGACGCUGAGACGCGAAAGCGUGGGGAGCAAACAGG